AUGACAUAUGGAUAUGAAUACUCACUAUCUGACUGGGUAGGUCUAUUGGUUGGUUUUGUUCAAUUGAUUUCUUUUUCUCUUUUAUCCUUUGUUACCCUAAAGGAAUGGCUUACCUGGUAGAGAGGAGGAAGGGAUACACUCAGAAAUGAGUAUGUGGUAAAAACAAAAGAGAGCUCCAAGUCCAACUGACGAAUAAAAAUGGAGGAAAAGACACAUGAGAACAAUGGAAUGCCUUUAGAACAUUUUUAGGCUAUGAUGUACAUUGAAUUCCAACAACAGAGCCUUGUGGGAGGUUUGGCCCAUCUUCAUAGAGCACGCCACAACUUCUGCCUAUUACAACAUAUAUGUAAUUUCUCCAGAAUUGACAAUAAAAAAUAAUAA